rnacentral:rRNA from 1 species
UACAGAGGUCCCAAGCGUUGUUCGGAUUCACUGGGCGUAAAGGGUGCGUAGGUGGCUUGGUAAGUUUGAUGUGAAAUCUCCGGGCUUAACCCGGAAAUGGCAUUGAAUACUAUUGAGCUGGAGGUUUGGAGGGGGGACUGGAAUUCUCGGUGUAGCAGUGAAAUGCGUAGAUAUCGAGAGGAACACCAGUGGCGAAGGCGGGUCUCUGGGCAACUACUGACGCUGAGGAGCGAAAGCGUGGGGAGCGAACAGG